rnacentral:tRNA from 1 species
AAUGAAAUGCCUGAAUAAAGGGUUAUUUUGAUAGAAUAAAACAUGUAAUUUUAUUACUUUCAUUA